UCUCCUCCUGGUUGCAAACAGAAGAUUGGUUCAUUUGCGCAUGCUGUGCAAAACUUGCCACAAAGUCUUUGUGCCAUCAGCAUGAAAAGAAUCCUUUGCCCAGGCGGGAGAUUAGGGUGGCCAGCGGGAAUCCCUGCACCCGAAAUUCAGAUCAGAAUGGGAAAAGUACUACUGAAAGCUGUAUUGAUCUGGAUGGUAUUUUCCAUCUGAGUGCAACUGCCUUGGGGAAGAUGGGACACCUGCACCAUGUCAGGUGGAUGCUGUCCCACAAAAAGG